rnacentral:rRNA from 1 species
CGGUUUUGUAAAUCUCCAGAUAAAGCCUGAAGCUUAACUCCAGAAAGUCUGAAGAGACUGCAAGACUUGAGAUCGGGUGAGGUUAAACGUACUUUCAGGGUAGGGGUAAAAUCCUGUAAUCCCGGAAGGACGACCAGUGGCGAAAGCGUUUAACUAGAACGAAUCUGACGGUAAGGAACGAAGGCUAGGGUAGCAAACCGGAUUAGAUACCCGGGUAGUCCUAGCUGUAAACAUUGCCCAUUUGAUGUUGCUUUCCCGUUGAGGGAAGGCAGUGUCGGAGCGAAGGUGUUAAAUGGGCCGCUUGGGAAGUAUGGUUGCAAGACUGAAACUUAAAGGAAUUGGCGGGGGAGCACCGCAACGGGAGGAAUGUGCGGUUUAAUUGGAUUCAACGCCGGAAAACUCACCGGGAACGACCUGUGCAUGAGAGUCAACUUGACGAGCUUACUCGAUAGCAGGAGAGGUAGUGCAUGGCCGUCGUCAGCUCGUACCGUAGGGCGUUCACUUAAGUGUGAUAACGAGCGAGACCCACAUCUUUAAUUGCAAAUGUAUAUGGGAAUAUGCAUGCACUUUAGAGAAACCGCCAGCGCUAAGCUGGAGGAAGGAGUGGUCGACGGCAGGUCAGUACGCCCCGAAUUUCCCGGGCUACACGCGCAUUACAAAGAACGGGACAAUACGUUGCAACCUCGAAAGAGGGAGCCAAUCGCGAAACCCGUCCAUAGUUAGGAUUGAGGGCUGUAACUCGCCCUCAUGAAUCUGGAUUCCGUAGUAAUCGUC